UUGGUUUUUCUUUUCUACAUAGUAAGAUGACUCCUCAUUCGCUCACUGAAACGACAAAUGAGUGUUCGAUAAUGGUCAAACUCGCCAGAAAUGGGGAGACCGUUGACUUUGGACAGCUUCAUGGGCCGGCUGGUGCACUUCUACUGAGCUCGCUUGCAGGUGCUAGUUUCAAAUUCAUGUCUGCACUUUCUGUUCUCUCGAGAUUUCUGCUAUGUAACGAUAUGCUCAGUCAGUGAGUGAGUUCAAUCGAAGCUAAGCUCGAAACCAACGACUCUGGUCGCCUUCCGUCCAAGUUCGUCUGCUGCAGGUUUGCCAAACCGUUCCUUCAACUGGGCUUUGUUCAAGAUAUGCUUUUGAUUUCGCACGCAUGCUUGAGAGUUAGUGCUUGAGUGAAUCAAAGAUAGGAAGAAGAAGGAGAGGGAAGAAGAAACAGUGAGAAUUAGGGAGAGUCCAUGGUUAACCGUCUUGUUCUGUCUACACCAUUAUCCAUAACUGUUGAUUAGACGAAUUAGUGAUGUUCAUCAACUCAAGAGUUUCGAGGGUCCUUGUCGAACAUCAUAUACUGAAUAGUAGGUACUUCUUUGGGGUUAAUUUACAAUUUUCCUUGAUGCUGUUGUUGGUAAUUAGGUGACAAGGCAAGCUGUAAUUUGUUCAAGUCUUGCAUAAAACAGCAUAUCUUAAUGAAGGUUGCCAAUGGAAAAUGUGUUGAGCCAUUGACACCAAACAUGGGUGUUAAGGAGCCAUCAAUUGCUCACAGGACAGAGAAUCGAAUAGCAAUGGAGUUCCAAACCAGUUGCUGUCUCACUCUCAGCUAAGCUCAGUUGCAGAUGCUCCUCUUUUCUUAAUGACUUCACCUACUUGGAAGCAUCUAUUCACGCUCCAAACUCUUAUCUCAGUAGUCUCUUCAGCUAGUUUCUAUUAGAUAAACAGCUUGUGAUGGAAGAUGCCU
rnacentral:lncRNA from 1 species